rnacentral:rRNA from 1 species
CACGUAGGGGGCGAGCGUUGUCCGGAUUUAUUGGGCGUAAAGCGCACGUAGGCGGCUUAGCAAGUCGGAAGUGAAAUCCCUCGGCUCAACCAAGGAAGUGCUUUCGAAACUGCUGAGCUUGAGUACUUAAGAGGAUCGCGGAAUUCCCGGUGUAGAGGUGAAAUUCGUAGGUAUCGGGAGGAACACCAGUGGCGAAGGCGGCGAUCUGGGAAGAUACUGACGCUGAGGUGCGAAAGCGUGGGGAGCAAACAGG